rnacentral:rRNA from 1 species
UACGAAGGGGGCUAGCGUUGCUCGGAAUUACUGGGCGUAAAGCGCACGUAGGCGGUCUUUUAAGUCGGGGGUGAAAUCCUGGAGCUCAACUCCAGAACUGCCUUCGAUACUGGAAGACUCGAGUCCGGGAGAGGUGAGUGGAACUGCGAGUGUAGAGGUGAAAUUCGUAGAUAUUCGCAAGAACACCAGUGGCGAAGGCGGCUCACUGGCCCGGUACUGACGCUGAGGUGCGAAAGCGUGGGUCGCGAAUGGG